UACAAAAAUACAAAUAUACAAAAAUAAAAAACACAAAAAAAAUACAAAAAAUAAAAAAAAAACACAAAAAUGCUGUCAAUGAGUUUUGGGCUGUCAAAAUCAGUCUGAGUUUGUUAUUGUUAUUGUCAUCAAAUUCGGGUUGUCAAAAUUUCAUAUCAAACUCCCUUCCGUGUGUCAACGGGAAAUGUCAAACGCCUGCUUGAAAACAACACUUUUCUUCACACCAAAACAAUCCGUUUGACCUAAUGACAAACUUGGAGAUUUCGGCAAAUGCUUGUUUGAGUGUGUGCGCGUUCGCACACACACUUCCGAGGGGGCAAUGAAUGCUAAUUAACAUAAUUAUCACGAAUUUUGCUGCGAUGUGGCAAAUUUACACACACACACACACAUUCGCACGCAAAAUCGCGCGCAACAAGAGAGCAACAUUUUUGACAGUUGUGUCCGGUACCGGUUUUUGGCGAGAAGAUAGCCGCGCCGCGGGGACGUUCGUCUGGUACUUUGACCCGUUUUUUAAAAGGAAUAAUUAAAAAAUUAUAAAUAAUAAUUUUUCCCGACGCAGCGUGACGAGGGGUCGUCGGAAGCGGGAGCCUCACCAACACACACGACGCGUUGCCGAAAAGGUGGAAGUUUUCGGGAGGUGACUUCCAUUUUUUUUUUCGCGUCAUCUUUUUGGACGGGGAAAAGUGUCGUGCCAGGGGUGACACGGCGAGGGGUGCCACGAUAUGUGGAAAAAUCCCUCACACACGAUUUCUGCCACGACGACGCGCAAAUGCGGAUGAAGUCAUACAAGUUUCCUCUUCCCUCCACCGAACGCCUACUGCGAUCUGCGGGAGAGAGUGUGUGCGGACAUGUGGCGACGCACGCACACAUACACGUUGGUAGAUUGGUGGGCCCCUCCAACAAGUUCGAGCGUAGCAGGCGCGCGCAGGCGCGACUUCGUGUAUCCGUACAGGGCCCCGUAUACGUACACGAAGCCGUGUCGCGACACGCACCAACACACACGUGCCCGAACGCGCCUUCACUUCUCGUACGAGCAAGUGCUUCGGGCUCGUGCUGUCCCGCUUCGGCGCUCGGCUCGCUCACCCGCUCUCGCGCCCUCGGCUUCUGUCGCUGUGUGCGUGCGCGAGUUGGUGGCGGCGGAGGCCGCCGUAAUCUACGACAGCGUUUUAACUGAAAUUUUCCUUUUCAUUCGUUCGCAGACAGCCGCACCGCGUGGACGGGCCGUGGAGCGCCCGACAACAACCCCCCGACCGAGAGAGCGAGAGGGAGUCGCACCGUCGGUCCUGCUCUCCGUAGGGUCCGCCGUGGAGCCUUUCGUGCAGUCAACAUCGUUUUUGCUCCGCCAGUCGCUCGGUGGAGCGCAGCAAGUGUAGACCGCAACCAACCAAACAAGAAACCACCCCGUCAAUGACUUUGACGGGCGCUAGACUGGCCGUGUGUGCGCGCGAACCCCGCGGAUCCUAGUGCAACCCCCCCGCGAACUAUUGUGUGGAAAAACAUCGCAGUGAACUCGGGUGGAAAAGUCGGGAAAAUCGGCGCCUACUACCGAAACUCCGGAUGGUUUCCAACGGACUUUAAAAAAGGCGCCGCAGUGUGACACCGUUUGUGAUGCAAGUGUGCCGCGCCCUCUGGGAUUAGACUCCAGUACACGCAACCAACCCCCCAAGAAAAAGGCGCCUACGUGACAGUUCCCGAUUCCCAAAGAGUGUGCCGACUUCCCAAGAUGAACGCAAUUUUCGUCCCGCUGCCAACACGACCACGAAGAACGCAAUCUUCAGCUCGAUUCCGCUUCAAGAUGCGAAGCACGUGUUGGCGGAGUCGGAGUGCAGCUGACGCGCGAGCAGUUUGACACCUGGCGGGUAACAAGACACGCCGAACCGGUACGGAACCGGUUCGGCGUUAGAGGCGCGCACUUGCAACCGGAGUAAUUGACUUUCCUUCUGGUCCUGCCCUGGCGAGCACAAAUUAAGUCAUAAAGGGUCAUAAAAGCGAAAUUUAUUAUCCGAGCCACGGACUUCUCGAGUGAAGGGGAAAAAACGGCCCGAAAUCGAUUCCUCGGAGGCCAUAAAUAACCGUUUGGCGCCCUGUUUCUCGCUCUCCGAACGUUCUAUCGCUUCGGGGUUGGAGGGCUCGUCGAAACGAAAAACGAACGCAAAAAUUUAUGGCUUUAACUUCUAUAAAUUUGAUACCCCCUCACGGGUUACAACGCGGACCCGUGAUGUGGUCAGCCCGGCAAAGGGUGACGAGGAACCGUUUUUGUUGCGCGUAAAUUUGGCCAAACCUGCACUUGAACGUUGUCGGUGGAAAGGGACGCGCCCUCCCGUUAUCGAAUUAGCAAAAUGGCGGGCGCAACGAGGAGGGCGUUUGCUGAGGGGGCGCUCAUCGGGCUCCGGAUGCUGGACCCAGGUAAUAACUUCCGAUCGGUUUGGAGCGGUUGACGAUGAUGGUGAUUUGAUGGAGUCUGACCAGAGUGCCAUUGGGUCACCGAUGUGGGGAGGCGCAUCGUAACCACAAAGCGGGUUUUGAGCAGUCGCAUACAAUGUUUGUUGUUUGUGCGAGUUUGAUUAUGAUUUGGAAAAUAAUUGAGUUUAGGGGAUGCAAUUUAUUUGCUAAACAAAUUAUCCCACAAUGUUGCGGUGUAACAGUGCGGUGUAACUGUGGUUUGGGUUCUGGAUUCGAUUGAAGUCGGCAAGUGAGGUUAGAGUUGAAGCUGUACUGUGUAAAGCGUGGAGUUGGAUUCGACCAGUUGUUUGCCGAAUCAGACUCCGACAGAUUUUCGACUCCUAAAAGAUACUCAAUUGUCUUUGAUUCCAACAACAAAACGAGUGAUUCUGACUAAGACAUCCGGAUUUGACUUCAGCUCCUCAGUAAGUCAGACCGCAUCGAAUUUGACUCUAAAUUCAACAACAACUUCUACGAAAUAUUGUUCAGCUCUUGAAACACCCAACUACAUUAACUCCAAAUUUGUCUCCGACAACAGCUUCUACCAAUUAUUGUUAAAAAGUAUUCGACUAAGAAUCCAUCUACUCAUAGUUUGUCAGAUCUGACUCCACAUUGGACUCCAAUUCUGACUCUGAUCUGUCUCUGACUUCAGCUCUGCGAAAAGACCAGACUUCACUGACUCUGAUUCUUACUUUGGCUCCAACUACAGCUUCAAAACAAAGUUGUUGAAAAUCAAAUGACUCCGACUGUUGACUGUGACUUCAGCUCUAAAGAUAGACCGGAUUCACCAAUUUCAACUUUAGUUUUAACAACAACUUAUACUCUACGGUCUUUUUGAAGAGCUGG